rnacentral:rRNA from 1 species
GUGGGGAAUUUUGGACAAUGGGCGCAAGCCUGAUCCAGCAAUGCCGCGUGCAGGAAGAAGGCCUUCGGGUUGUAAACUGCUUUUGUACGGAACGAAACGGUCCGGGCUAAUACCCUGGGCUAAUGACGGUACCGUAAGAAUAAGCACCGGCUAACUACGUGCCAGCAGCCGCGGUAAUACGUAGGGUGCAAGCGUUAAUCGGAAUUACUGGGCGUAAAGCGUGCGCAGGCGGUUUUGUAAGACAGGCGUGAAAUCCCCGGGCUCAACCUGGGAAUUGCGCUUGUGACUGCAAGGCUGGAGUGCGGCAGAGGGGGAUGGAAUUCCGCGUGUAGCAGUGAAAUGCGUAGAUAUGCGGAGGAACACCGAUGGCGAAGGCAAUCCCCUGGGCCUGCACUGACGCUCAUGCACGAAAGCGUGGGGAGCAAACAGGAUUAGAAACCCCUGUAGUCC